UUAAGUUAGAAAGGGCGCACGGUGGAUGCCUUGGCACUAGGAGCCGAUGAAGGACGGGACGAACACCGAUAUGCUUCGGGGAGCUGUAAGCAAGCUUUGAUCCGGAGAUUUCCGAAUGGGGAAACCCACCACUCGUAAUGGAGUGGUAUCCAUAUCUGAAUACAUAGGAUAUGAGAAGGCAGACCCGGGGAACUGAAACAUCUAAGUACCUGGAGGAAGAGAAAGCAAAUGCGAUUCCCUGAGUAGCGGCGAGCGAAACGGGACCAGCCCAAACCAAGAGGCUUGCCUCUUGGGGUUGUAGGACACUCUGUACGGAGUUACAAAGGAACGAGGUAGAUGAAGAGGUCUGGAAAGGCCCGCCAUAGGAGGUAACAGCCCUGUAGUCAAAACUUCGUUCUCUCCUGAGUGGAUCCUGAGUACGGCGGAACACGUGAAAUUCCGUCGGAAUCCGGGAGGACCAUCUCCCAAGGCUAAAUACUCCCUAGUGACCGAUAGUGAACCAGUACCGUGAGGGAAAGGUGAAAAGCACCCCGGAAGGGGAGUGAAAGAGAUCCUGAAACCGUGUGCCUACAAGUAGUCAGAGCCCGUUAACGGGUGAUGGCGUGCCUUUUGUAGAAUGAACCGGCGAGUUACGAUCCCGUGCAAGGUUAAGCAGAAGAUGCGGAGCCGCAGCGAAAGCGAGUCUGAAUAGGGCGAAUUGAGUACGUGGUCGUAGACCCGAAACCAGGUGAUCUACCCAUGUCCAGGGUGAAGUUCAGGUAACACUGAAUGGAGGCCCGAACCCACGCACGUUGAAAAGUGCGGGGAUGAGGUGUGGGUAGGGGUGAAAUGCCAAUCGAACCUGGAGAUAGCUGGUUCUCUCCGAAAUAGCUUUAGGGCUAGCCUCAAGGUAAGAGUCUCGGAGGUAGAGCACUGAUUGGACUAGGGGCCCCUACCGGGUUACCGAAUUCAGUCAAACUCCGAAUGCCGAUGACUUAUCCUUGGGAGUCAGACUGCGAGUGAUAAGAUCCGUAGUCGAAAGGGAAACAGCCCAGACCGCCAGCUAAGGUCCCAAAGUAUACGUUAAGUGGAAAAGGAUGUGGAGUUGCUUAGACAACCAGGAUGUUGGCUUAGAAGCAGCCACCAUUUAAAGAGUGCGUAAUAGCUCACUGGUCGAGUGACUCUGCGCCGAAAAUGUACCGGGGCUAAACGUAUCACCGAAGCUGCGGACUGUUCUUCGAACAGUGGUAGGAGAGCGUUCUAAGGGCUGUGAAGCAAGACCGGAAGGACUUGUGGAGCGCUUAGAAGUGAGAAUGCCGGUAUGAGUAGCGAAAGAGGGGUGAGAAUCCCCUCCACCGAAUGCCUAAGGUUUCCUGAGGAAGGCUCGUCCGCUCAGGGUUAGUCGGGACCUAAGCCGAGGCCGAAAGGCGUAGGCGAUGGAUAACAGGUUGAUAUUCCUGUACCACCUCCUCACCAUUUGAGCAAUGGGGGGACGCAGGAGGAUAGGGUAAGCGCGGUAUUGGAUAUCCGCGUCCAAGCAGUUAGGCUGGGAAAUAGGCAAAUCCGUUUCCCAUGAAGGCUGAGCUGUGAUGGCGAGCGAAUUAUAGUAGCGAAGUUCCUGAUUCCACACUGCCAAGAAAAGCCUCUAGCGAGGUGAGAGGUGCCCGUACCGCAAACCGACACAGGUAGGCGAGGAGAGAAUCCUAAGGUGAUCGAGAGAACUCUCGUUAAGGAACUCGGCAAAAUGACCCCGUAACUUCGGGAGAAGGGGUGCUCUGUUAGGGUGCAAGCCCGAGAGAGCCGCAGUGAAUAGGCCCAGGCGACUGUUUAGCAAAAACACAGGUCUCUGCGAAGCCGUAAGGCGAAGUAUAGGGGCUGACGCCUGCCCGGUGCUGGAAGGUUAAGAGGAGCGCUUAGCGUAAGCGAAGGUGCGAAUUGAAGCCCCAGUAAACGGCGGCCGUAACUAUAACGGUCCUAAGGUAGCGAAAUUCCUUGUCGGGUAAGUUCCGACCCGCACGAAAGGCGCAACGAUCUGGGCACUGUCUCAACGAGAGACUCGGUGAAAUUAUAGUACCUGUGAAGAUGCAGGUUACCCGCGACAGGACGGAAAGACCCCGUGGAGCUUUACUGCAGCCUGAUAUUGAAUGUUGGUACAGCUUGUACAGGAUAGGUAGGAGCCUUGGAAACCGGAGCGCCAGCUUCGGUGGAGGCAUCGGUGGGAUACUACCCUGGCUGUAUUGACCUUCUAACCCGCCGCCCUUAUCGGGCGGGGAGACAGUGUCAGGUGGGCAGUUUGACUGGGGCGGUCGCCUCCUAAAAGGUAACGGAGGCGCCCAAAGGUUCCCUCAGAAUGGUUGGAAAUCAUUCGCAGAGUGUAAAGGCACAAGGGAGCUUGACUGCGAGACCUACAAGUCGAGCAGGGACGAAAGUCGGGCUUAGUGAUCCGGUGGUUCCGCAUGGAAGGGCCAUCGCUCAACGGAUAAAAGCUACCCCGGGGAUAACAGGCUUAUCUCCCCCAAGAGUCCACAUCGACGGGGAGGUUUGGCACCUCGAUGUCGGCUCAUCGCAUCCUGGGGCUGUAGUCGGUCCCAAGGGUUGGGCUGUUCGCCCAUUAAAGCGGUACGCGAGCUGGGUUCAGAACGUCGUGAGACAGUUCGGUCCCUAUCCGUCGCGGGCGCAGGAAAUUUGAGAGGAGCUGUCCUUAGUACGAGAGGACCGGGAUGGACGCACCGCUGGUGUACCAGUUGUUCUGCCAAGGGCAUCGCUGGGUAGCUAUGUGCGGACGGGAUAAGUGCUGAAAGCAUCUAAGCAUGAAGCCCCCCUCAAGAUGAGAUUUCCCAUUCCGCAAGGAAGUAAGAUCCCUGAAAGAUGAUCAGGUUGAUAGGUCUGAGGUGGAAGUGUGGCGACACAUGGAGCUGACAGAUACUAAUCGAUCGAGGACUUAACCAA
rnacentral:rRNA from 1 species